rnacentral:rRNA from 1 species
UCAAGUUAUUAAGGGUGCAGGGCGGAUGCCUUGGCACUAGGAGCCGAUGAAGGACGUGAUAAGCUGCGAUAAGCUUCGGGGAGUUGCACGUAAACUUUGAUCCGAAGAUUUCCGAAUGAGGAAACUCACUUAGAGUAAUGUCUAAGUAUCAUUAAGUGAAUACAUAGCUUAAUGAGGGGAACUCAGGGAACUGAAACAUCUAAGUACCUGAAGGAAGAGAAAGAAAUUCGAUUCCGUAAGUAGCGGCGAGCGAACGCGGAUUAGCCCAAACCAAUAAAGUUUUCUUUGUUGGGGUUGCGGACAUAUCAUAACGAAGAGGUAUCGUAAUUGAAGAGGUUUGGAAAGACCCACCACAGAAGGUAAUAGUCCUGUAUGUUAAACGAGAAGACUUUAGAUAUGAUCCAGAGUACCACGGGACACGUGAAACCCUGUGGGAAGCAGGAGGGACCACCCUCCAAGGCUAAAUACUACCUAGUGACCGAUAGCGUAUAGUACCGUGAGGGAAAGGUGAAAAGAACCCCGGGAGGGGAGUGAAAUAGAACCUGAAACCCUGCACUUACAAGCUGUGGAAGCACAUUUCUUGUGUGACCGCGUACUUUUUGUAGAACGGGCCAACGAGUUACGUUAAGUAGCAAGGUUAAGCACUUAAGGUGCGGAGCCGUAGCGAAAGCGAGUUUUAACUGAGCGUUCAGUUACUUGACGUAGACCCGAAACCGGGCGACCUACCCAUGAGCAGGAUGAAGCGAAAGUAAAAUUUCGUGGAGGUCCGAACCCACGAGCGUUGAAAAGCUCGGGGAUGACUUGUGGGUAGCGGUGAAAUUCCAAUCGAGCCCGGAGAUAGCUGGUUCUCCCCGAAAUAGCUUUAGGGCUAGCCUCAAGGUGAGAGAUACGGAGGUAGAGCACUGAAUGUCCUAGGGGGUAUUGCACCUACCGAAGACUAUCAAACUCCGAAUGCCGUCAUCUUAUACUUGGGAGUCAGACUGUGGGUGAUAAGAUUCAUAGUCGAAAGGGCAACAGCCCAGAUCGUCAGCUAAGGUCCCUAAAUGUAAGUUAAGUGGUAAAGGAUGUGGGAUUGCACAGACAACCAGGAUGUUGGCUUAGAAGCAGCCACUCAUUCAAAGAGUGCGUAAUAGCUCACUGGUCGAGUGAUCCUGCGCCGAAGAUUUCCGGGGCUAAAACUUACUACCGAAGCUACGGCAUCAGUAAUGAUGGGUAGGGGAGCUUCCCAUACGGGUUGAAGCAUGACCGUAAGGACAUGUGGACAGUAUGGGAGUGAGAAUGUUGGCAUGAGUAGCGAGAUGUGGGUGAGAAUCCCACAGGCCGUAAACCCAAGGUUUCCAGGGGAAGGUUCGUCCACCCUGGGUUAGUCGGGACCUAAGCUGAGGCCGAAAGGCGUAGGUGAUGGACAACAGGUUGAUAUUCCUGUACUACCGAUAACCGUUUGAGAGAAGGGAUGACACAGUAGGAUAAGCUAAGCACACUGUUGGUUAUGUGUGCCCAAGCAUUGAGGCAGUCAAAGUAGGCAAAUCCGCUUUGAUAAUGCUGGGAUGUGAUGGGGAGCGAAAUUUAGUAGCGAAGUAGCUGAUUUCACACUGUCAAGAAAAGUCUCUAUCGAGGUUAAAGGUACCCGUACCGCAAACCGACACAGGUGGGUGAGGAGAGUAUCCUAAGGCCAGCGAGAGAACUGUUGUUAAGGAACUCGGCAAAAUGACCCCGUAACUUAGGGAUAAGGGGUGCCACCAUCAGGUGGCCGCAGAGAAUAGGCCCAAGCGACUGUUUACCAAAAACAUAGGUUUCUGCUAAGUCGCAAGACGAUGUAUAGGAGCUGACGCCUGCCCGGUGCUGGAAGGUUAAGGGGAUCUGUUAGAGCAAUCGAAGCAGUGAACUUAAGCCCCAGUAAACGGCGGCCGUAACUAUAACGGUCCUAAGGUAGCGAAAUUCCUUGUCGGGUAAGUUCCGACCCGCACGAAAGGCGUAACGAUUUGGGCACUGUCUCAACAACAGACUCGGUGAAAUUGUAAUUCCGGUGAAGAUGCCGGAUACCUGCGACAGGACGGAAAGACCCCAUGGAGCUUUACUGUAGCUUGACAUUGGGUCUUGGUACUACAUGUACAGGAUAGGUGGGAGGCUUUGAAACCAGGACGCCAGUUUUGGCGGAGCCAUCCUUGGGAUACCACCCUUGUAGUACUGGGACUCUAACCAUAGGCCAUGAAUCUGGUCUUGGGACACUGUCAGGUGGGCAGUUUGACUGGGGCGGUCGCCUCCCAAAAGGUAACGGAGGCGCUCAAAGGUUCUCUCAGUACGGUCGGAAAUCGUACGUAGAGUGUAAAGGCAAAAGAGAGCUUGAUUGCAAGACAUACAGGUCGAGCAAGGAUGAAAAUCGGACUUAGUGAUCCGGUGGUUCUGCGUGGAAGGGCCAUCGCUCAACGGAUAAAAGCUACCCUGGGGAUAACAGGCUUAUCUCCCCCAAGAGUCCACAUCGACGGGGAGGUUUGGCACCUCGAUGUCGGCUCAUCACAUCCUGGGGCUGUAGUAGGUCCCAAGGGUUGGGCUGUUCGCCCAUUAAAGUGGUACGCGAGCUGGGUUCAGAACGUCGUGAGACAGUUCGGUCCCUAUCCGUCGCAGGCGUAGGAAAUUUGAGAAGACCUGUCCUUAGUACGAGAGGACCGGGAUGGACGUACCUCUGGUGUACCAGUUGUCCUGCCAAGGGCAUGGCUGGGUAGCUAUGUACGGAAUGGAUAAGCGCUGAAAGCAUCUAAGCGCGAAGCCAACUUCAAGAUAAGAUUUCCCACCGCAAGGGUAAGACCCCAGAAAGACUAUCUGGUUGAUAGGUCGAAGGUGUAAGUGCAGCAAUGUAUUUAGCUUAUCGAUACUAAUAGGUCGAGGACUUGACCAA